GCCUGGGUGGCUGAGUCGGUUAAGCAUCCGACUUCUGCUCAGGUCACGAUCUCACAGUUCGUGAGUUCGAGCCCCGCAUCGGGCU
rnacentral:tRNA from 1 species